rnacentral:rRNA from 1 species
GUGAGGAAUAUUGGUCAAUGGUCGCAAGACUGAACCAGCCAUGCCGCGUGCAGGAAGACGGUCCUAUGGAUUGUAAACUGCUUUUAUACAGGAAGAAACCCUCCCACGUGUGGGAGCUUGACGGUACUGUAGGAAUAAGGAUCGGCUAACUCCGUGCCAGCAGCCGCGGUAAUACGGAGGAUCCAAGCGUUAUCCGGAAUCAUUGGGUUUAAAGGGUCCGUAGGCGGUCUUAUAAGUCAGUGGUGAAAGCCCAUCGCUCAACGAUGGAACUGCCAUUGAUACUGUAGGACUUGAAUGCUUAGGAAGUAACUAGAAUAUGUAGUGUAGCGGUGAAAUGCUUAGAUAUUACAUGGAAUACCAAUUGCGAAGGCAGGUUACUACUAAGUGAUUGACGCUGAUGGACGAAAGCGUGGGGAGCGAACAGGAUUAGAUACCCUAGUAGUCC